AUUGAACGCUGGCGGCAUGCUUUACACAUGCAAGUCGGACGAGUGGCGAACGGGUGAGUAACGCAUCGGAAAGUACCGAGUAAGGGGGGAUAACUGUCCGAAAGGACAGCUAAUACCGCAUAUUAUUCGAGCGGCCGAUGUCUGAUUAGCUGGUUGGCGGGGUAAAGGCCCACCAAGGCGACGAUCCGUAGCGGGUCUGAGAGGAAGAUCCGCAAAACUGGGACUGAGAUACGGGCCAGACGCCUACGUGAGGAAGGAGGGGGGAAUUUUGGACAAUGGGCGCAAGCCGGAUGCAGCCAUGCCGCGUGUCUGAAGAAGGCCUGCGGGUUGUAAAGGACUUUUGUCAGGGAAGCGGUACCUGGAGAAUAAGCACCGGCUAACUACGUGCCAGCAGCCGCGGUAAUUC
rnacentral:rRNA from 1 species